rnacentral:rRNA from 1 species
UACGUAGGUGACAAGCGUUGUCCGGAUUUACUGGGCGUAAAGAGCGCGCAGGCGGUCGAUCAAGUCGAGUGUGAAAGCCCCCGGCUCAACUGGGGAGGGUCAUUCGAUACUGAUCGACUCGAAGGCAGGAGAGGGUAGUGGAAUUCCCGGUGUAGUGGUGAAAUGCGUAGAUAUCGGGAGGAACACCAGUGGCGAAGGCGACUACCUGGCCUGUUCUUGACGCUGAGGCGCGAAAGCGUGGGUAGCAAACAGG